GUCGGAAUUGGAUUGGAAUAAGACUCUAACUCCUAUGCUACUAUCGUAAAAAUCAGUUCCUAGGUAUGUUGGACAUAAACUCCAAGUUUGACUCAAAUUUCUUCUGUAUUUUUUUUGUUACUUAUAUAUUACUAGGUAGCAUGCCCGUGCGUUGUUACGGAAUAACUAAAUUUUGUACGAAAAACACAUAGAUCGCACGAUAAGAUAAUAAUAUUAUCAAACGAAAUAUCAAUGUUAAAGUGACAUUUAAUCAAAAAAGCAAAAUUCAUGAAAUUAACACAUUCAUGGAUAGUGCAGUGUCGCAGGCUCAUAAACUCUACUGUAUAGACAUUGACAUUUUUUCUGAUGCGACUAAGAUAAUCUUUUAUAUCAACGAGAAGAAAUCUCCAAGAUAUUUAAUUUCGUAGUACAUGAUAGUAUGGAGAUGCUAUAACUAUGACCAGGCGCUGGAAGCUAUGGAUCACCUUCUGUUGGGUAGUGUUUACAAUAGAGAAAUUUGGGCAACAAUCAUAAGGAAGCAAACAUUGUAUCUUCCCCUUCCUGGUAAGCAGAAAAACAAACAUGAAACAAAAACUUUACAGACACAUACUAAAAGGCAGACAAAUUCAGAUCAGCUGUAGACAAAGCAAGUAUACUGACCAUCAUUUAUAUAAUGUGUACUGUGGUGGUUGUGCACAUGAGCCCAUGAUAGCAACAAAUAGGGGGUAAUUUAAGCUAAAUAUAUGUUGUAGUGUGCAUGUCAGCUGAACCUUGAAUGUUAUGACAACUUAACUGAGAAUUGUCAGCACGCUUAAGCUAAACUGUGGAAUGACAAAGAAUCCAAUCUAAAAUGUACCCCUAGCGCUCACCAAUAAAUAAUCCACCAAGAAGCAAAUUUACUAUCUAGAAUGACAAUGUUCAAAAAUAAAAACAUGCCCUAAAACUGCAGUACUAAAAUAAAGAAAAAUUAAACAAAUUGCAGAAAUACACAUAUUAUUAGAAUUGAAGAGGAAAAUAGUGAUCCUCAGGAAUUGCUUGAGCAGCUGCCCCAGACGGCCAUAAGGCAAACUAAACAAUUGUUCUCUAGUAUCUACUAACUAUGCAAGUAGCAGAACAAUUUGCUUUCUGGUUCCCAAAAUCGACAGAGGGAAAAUGGCAUGCCAAACAGAGUUGUACAUGAAAUCGACACAAGUCUUCGUGUUCAUGAAACAUUAAAUGUGACUAAACUUAUGUUUGUCUGUACAAAUACACCAGUCUUGGAAAUGAGAAUAGGUCUUACCUUAUGAUUUAAAACUAUCAUAAUUCAUAAGUCCCAAUUGACAAGAAUUAACUGGAUGAUUGGUACUUGAUUUAACUGAGAUGCUGCAUUGUAGAAAUGAAGCUGCCCAAUAAAACUCAGUGCCUAUUGUUCAGUGCUCUGACACUCUAUGGAAGGGGAAUUAAAUUGCCUAAAAAAUCUAAGAGCAUAGAGCUAGCUAAACAGUCAUAAGUAAUAACUAUAUUUCACGGGGGCGGGAAGAGACAUAUUCUUGUCUCACCUAUUAAAGCCAAAAUGCAGCAGCUGCAUACAACUGCAUGAGAGAAUCUGCAAGCACCAGUUGCAUGUCUUCUGAUAUCUCAACUUGCACACCUCCAUAAGAUAAGGUCUUCAAUAAAAAUAGAUUCUUGAUUUUUCAUGUCCUAGACUAAAAUUAUGGUAAAAAAAUUACCAAGUUCUAAAUUCUUGUGCAAUCUAAAUGCUACUGCAUUUGCCCAUCUAAAGUUAUAUUAAUAUAGAAACAUCCAAAAGAAAAUGCAUCAACAUCGCCAAGGGAUGAAAUUCUUCAAUGCCUGCAAGAAAAUUCAAGUUGGGGCUCUAGAAAAAUAUAUGAUGCAACUUUCCUAUACGAGCAGACUUCAGAAAAAUAUACUUAUGAUAUAACUUUUCAGUGCUUUUACACAAAAAGAAAGGGAAGAUAAAGGACAGACAUACCUGUUGUUGUGGGCACUUUACCACUGCAGAUUCGGACGAUCUGCUACAAUAAGCCAAUAACUGAUCACACUGCAGGAAGAAAUCUCAUAUUCCUAAUAACUAAUGAAAAGCAAAAUCCAAAAAUUCAGAGUCUAGGCCAAGCACAAAGAUAUCAAGGAAGUUGUCCCUAGGCAAGGUAUACGAGAUGGGCAUGCAGACAACUACAAGGUUCAGGUUCUUCACUCCAACAGUUUCAUCUCAGAAUUUAUUUUAGCUUUCAGGUUGUGGCAAAUGCUUAGGAAAAGCUGAAAGAUAAUCAAUGGUUUGUUUCAGAUGACAUUCAUGGCGACUGUGGUACGAAAAUAUGAGAAUGGGGAAGAAUUGACCAUAGUGACAUAGGGCUAAAAAGUUAAUUUCAUGGAAAAAUAGAAGCUGAAUGGCACCCAUGGAAAAUUAGAAGCUGAAUGACAACCUUGUCGACAUAGUUCAAAAUAAAUUGACGUAUGUAUCCAUAGGGAGAAUAAACAAGCUGCUAGUCAUACCUUCCAUAUCUCAGAGCCCAGGGCAUGACCAUUGCUAAAUGAUUGAGGUAUGGGCGCAUAACUGAAAUUUGGCAUUAGCCACCCCUCGGCGACAAAUCAAACCAACCCAAGAUUUUCGAGGGUUAAACUAAAACCAUGCUCUAGAUAAUUAAUUAUUUGUUUAUACUUGAUACGAUGAUACACAUGACGAUUUAAUUUCUACGACAGCUGAUACAAACAUAGAAAACUAAGUUACAUGUAAAUAAACAUGUGAAGCAUGCUGACUAUAGCAGCACCCAUGUGAAACUCAAUACAGCUGGUCUGCCAACAACUUAUCCAAACAUACCAUCACAUACAUGACAAGCGAACAAUUUAGAAAUCAGAACUACAGGGCGACAAGCAGAAAUCAAGUUGAACAUUAGCACAUCAAAAACAUAUAUUGGUACCAGUAGCACACAAAUUUUAGAAUAAAACGAUCCAAUAGUAAUCCUUUUCUCCAUUUUACAGUAGCAAGCAGUAAACCAGGACUAAUGGAAUGUUGAGACAAAAUAAGGGAAUCUUAAAUCAAAUUAAAACAUGUAAGAAGUGCAGGAAUUGUGAGACAGGAGCUCUUUACCGUCAUCUUCUAGGCGAGGUAACCAACGGCCCUCCCCGCGCAUCGUCGCCAUUGGCAGAGCUGUGCUCCCGUCCUGUGCCCCAUCUUCUUAGCACAAGGCUAAACUCAGGCCACAGCCUGACACAGUCCAUCUCCCCGAGCAGCGUGGCAACAUCAGCGAUGUCCCCGUCGGCCCCCACGAGGCGCUCGAUCCUGCCGCAGACGAUGGCGGCCAUGAGCUCCAUGGUCUCUCCGUUGACGCAGUUGGCGCGGCGGAGCUAGUCGAAGACCUCGAGCACGUAGUAGGCGUCGUGCCCCUCCUGCGUGAAGUAGAUGAACACCAGCUGCAGAUCCCGCAGGGAUAACGCCAUGAGCGGGGCCUCGUUGGCUGCGAUGGAGGCCGGCUCGCGCUCUAGGUGCUCGGUGGAGUGGAGGCGGCGGCGGCGGCGGCGGCGAGGAGUGGCGGCAGCACCCACGUCAAAGGAGGAAAGAAAACGCAGGGGAGCAAGAGAAGGGAAGAGAAGGGGUUGGCACAUCUGCUGGUUGCGGCGGCGGCCAGGGAGCAAGGAGCAGCGUGCAGGGCAGGUAGGACGACGUGAUUGGUGGGGCGUGAUACGAGAUUGAUUUUGUUUGGACCAUUGGGAUCUCGAUGUGGAGAAGAAUUU
rnacentral:lncRNA from 1 species